rnacentral:rRNA from 1 species
CCUACGGGUGGCAGCAGUGGGGGAUAUUGCACAAUGGGGGGAACCCUGAUGCAGCGACGCCGCGUGGGUGAAGAAGCGCCUCGGCGCGUAAAGCCCUGUCAGCAGGGAAGAAAAUGACGGUACCUGAAGAAGAAGCACCGGCUAACUACGUGCCAGCAGCCGCGGUAAUACGUAGGGGGCAAGCGUUAUCCGGAUUUACUGGGUGUAAAGGGGGCGCAGACGGCGAUGCAAGCCAGGAGUGAAAGCCGGGGGCCCAACCCCGGGACUGCUCUUGGAACUGCGUGGCUGGAGUGCAGGAGGGGCAGGCGGAAUUCCUGGUGUAGCGGUGAAAUGCGUAGAGAUCAGGAGGAACACCGGUGGCGAAGGCGGCCUGCUGGACUGCAACUGACGUUGAGGCCCGAAAGCGUGGGGAGCAAACAGGAUUAGAUACCCGGGUAGUC